rnacentral:rRNA from 1 species
UACGAAGGGGGCUAGCGUUGCUCGGAAUCACUGGGCGUAAAGCGCUCGUAGGCGGCUUCUUAAGUCAGGGGUGAAAUCCUGGAGCUCAACUCCAGAACUGCCUUUGAUACUGAGAAGCUUGAGUCCGGGAGAGGUGAGUGGAACUGCGAGUGUAGAGGUGAAAUUCGUAGAUAUUCGCAAGAACGCCAGUGGCGAAGGCGGCUCACUGGCACGGUACUGACGCUGAGGUGCGAAAGCGUGGGGAGCAAACAGG